rnacentral:lncRNA from 1 species
AAUUUGAUGAGUGCUUAUGUAAUUAAAUUACACAUAAAAAUAUCAUCAACAAAGAGUUUAGCUACACAGUCAAAUUCUCAGUCCUCACACACAAUCAUCCCAACUGUACAAUUCUUGAUCCAACAAUCGAAAAGACGGAAGCAUCAAAUCAUCUAUAUUUUCGGUAGCAUAGUAGCUCUACACACACACACACACACACACACACACACACAUAUUGGUUUUAUU